rnacentral:rRNA from 1 species
AGCGGACGCUGGCGGCAGGCCUAACACAUGCAAGUCGAACGAAGUCUUCGGACUUAGUGGCGGACGGGUGAGUAACACGUGGGAACGUGCCUUUAGGUUCGGAAUAACUCAGGGAAACUUGUGCUAAUACCGAAUGUGCCCUUCGGGGGAAAGAUUUAUCGCCUUUAGAGCGGCCCGCGUCUGAUUAGCUAGUUGGUGAGGUAAAGGCUCACCAAGGCUGCGAUCAGUAGCUGGUCUGAGAGGAUGACCCCCCACAUUGGGACUGAGACACGGCCCAAACUCCUACGGGAGGCAGCAGUGGGGAAUCUUGCGCAAUGGGCGAAAGCCUGACGCAGCCAGGCCGCGUGGAUGAUGAAGGUCUUAGGAUUGUAAAAUCCUUUCACCGGUGAAGAUAAUGACUGUAGCCGGAGAAGAAGCCCCGGCUAACUUCGUGCCAGCAGCCGCCGUAAUAC